UUUCCGUAGCAAUACGGGAAUGGCGCACGGCGCACGGGUGCGUAACACGUGGGUAAUCUGCCCUUCGAUGGGGAAUAACCCCGGGAAACCGGGGCUAAUUCCGCAUAACAUUCCGAUGAUUAACGUUGUUGGACUCAAAGCCGUAAGGCGUCGGAGGAGGAGCCCGCGCACGAUUAGCUAGUUGGUGAGGUAACGGCUCACCAAGGCUAUGAUCGUUAGCUGGUCUGAGAGGAUGGCCAGCCACACUGGAACUGAGACACGGUCCAGACUCCUACGGGAGGCAGCAGUGGGGAAUCUUGCACAAUGGGCGAAAGCCUGAUGCAGCGACGCCGCGUGGGGGAUGAAGCUUUUCGGAGUGUAAACCCCUUUCGACCCGGACGAAUGCCCCGCAAGGGGACUGACGGUACGGGUAUAAGAAGCCCCGGCUAACUACGUGCCAGCAGCCGCGGUAAGACGUAGGGGGCCAGCGUUGCUCGGAAUUACUGGGUGUAAAGGGUUCGUAGGCGGUGCGGCAAGUCGGGAGUGAAAUCUCUGGGCUCAACCCAGAGGCUGCUUCCGAAACUGCUGUGCUUGAGUGUGGGAGAGGCGCGUGGAAUUGCAGGUGUAGCGGUGAAAUGCGUAGAUAUCUGCAGGAACACCCGUGGCGAAAGCGGCGCGCUGGACCACAACUGACGCUGAGGAACGAAAGCUAGGGGAGCAAACAGGAUUAGAUACCCUGGUAGUCCUAGCCCUAAACGAUCAGGACUUGGGGUGCCGCACGUUCGUGCGUCGUCCCGGAGCUAACGCGUUAAGUCCUGCACCUGGGGAGUACGGUCGCAAGACUGAAACUC
rnacentral:rRNA from 1 species